AAAAAAACUCAGGUGCCGGUGCCACUUGACUACGAUAACGGCAGCAGACCAAACAACGGAUGAAGAAAGGACACAAGCGGCGGUGUGCCACCCCAGUUGAUGGAAGACAUCAUUCUGAGACAUCAAUAAUGACUGGCCAGACCUGUGGAGUGCUAAACAAACAGAAGACUUCAAAUCCAAGAACCCCUGGUUGGGAUCCAAAAACAAAAAAUUGGGAUGUCUGGUCUGUAGCAGUGUGAACUCCAUUGGGAUCGACAAGGAGCAAGGACAAGGUGUAUCGCUCUCAAGAGAAUGGAUGAACUUUGAAAUUCAAGUGUCUGGCCAGGGAAGUAGAACAACAAGUUUGUCAAUCUUGAGAAAUAAGGUGAGGAAACAUGCGUUGUCCAAGGCCCACACUCAGGCUGUGAAGGUGGCAGAGCAACAGAAAGAAGCUGCCAUUGAGAAUGCAGUGGAGACUAUGACUGAGUCCUACAUGAAGGAAACUGAAGCUGUGUUUCGAACAGCCUACCAUCUGGCCAAAAAGAACCGACCCUUUUCUGACCAUGAGAGCCUCAUUGAGCUGCAGGAACUGAAUGGUGUAAAAAUGGGCUCAAUACUUCAUUCACGUUACAGUGCAACACAAAUAAUACAACAUGUUGCUAGUGAGAUGCAGAGCAAAAUCAUCAGUAGCAUUAUAGCAUCAUCCAGUAAGUUAGCUGUCCUAAUUGACGAGGCAUCUUCUUUAAGUCACAAAGCUGUCAUGACAGUUUCUAUUAAAGCAUCAAUUCAAGAAGAAAGCCCUGAGUUCAUAUUCCUGGAACUUGUUGAACUGGAAAAUCAGAGAGCAGAUGGCAUAUUACAGGCGUUACUCACCUGUUUAACUAAUGCUGGCUUUACAGAAGAGUGGCUUCAUGAAAACUGGGUAACAUUUGUAUCUGAUGGAGCCAGUGUCAUGCUAGGAAAGA